UACGUAGGGUGCGAGCGUUGUCCGGAAUUAUUGGGCGUAAAGAGCUUGUAGGCGGUUUGUCGCGUCUGCUGUGAAAAUCCGGGGCUCAACCCCGGACUUGCAGUGGGUACGGGCAGACUGGAGUGUGGUAGGGGAGACUGGAAUUCCUGGUGUAGCGGUGGAAUGCGCAGAUAUCAGGAGGAACACCCGUAGCGAAGGCGGCACUCUGGGCCGAUACUGACACUGAGGAGCGAAAGCGUGGGGAGCGAACAGG
rnacentral:rRNA from 1 species